CUUUGUUUUACCUUAUUCUUCUCUUGAAACUCAAGAUUUGGAGCUUAAUUAGUAAAUGUUAUGAUCGAAACUUUAACUGAUCUAAUUAUUUUGAAAUAUUAUCUUAGCAGUGAGAGUUUAUCUUUGCUUUUGUGUUUAGAAAUCUUACGAUUUAAAGUUACUUUUGAAAUGAACUGACCAACAUUAAUUAUUUCGUGUAAACAUUCAAUUCAAGUUCUCUUUUUUUUGUGUUGGUUCCAUUAUUCGUAUUACAAUUCUUGGAUUUAUGAGGGUAAUAUUAAAUUGACAAAGCGAGACAAAAGCUUUUAUAAACUCAAUGAUCAGCAUGAAUAUCAUCAAAUUGUAAGACAAAAAUGUCUUGGCUUGAAGAAAUAAUAAGGAUAUGGUUAACUGCUACAGUGAUCAUUAGUUAAGAUUGAACAGGAAAAAAUGGUGAAAAGGACAUGAGAUGGAGAUCUGGUCAAAGUAACAGAAGACUUAUGAUUAUGAUACUGAGGAGGACAACGACAAAUCUGAUGAUGAUGAUACUGCUGUUGAUAGUGAUAGUGCUGGUGCUGGUGAUGAUGAUUAUGAGGUGAUAGAAAAAAAAGAAAAGAAUCAAGAAAAAAGAAAAGCAUUCAAGACAAACAGUUUGUUUCUUUUCUUUAAGUUAUAAAGAAUUGUUUCCUUUUGUUCCGAGUCAGGCCAAUUUUUUAUAUUAAUAUAUUAAAAUGAGUGGUGGUGAAAAAAGGAGGUCAUCAUUAAGAGACAAAUAAAUGUAAAAUAAAAAGUCGGACAAUAUGGAAUCCAGAUAAUGGUUAAUAAUGGUGGUUAAGACAAAAAAGGAAUGAGAUGAAAAGCCUGUAGUCAUCGCUAAAUAAAAGGAACCAGUUGAAGAGACAAUGAAGGAAAUGUGUAUAUUUCUUUGGAUUGGAAAGAAGCUUACAUGAACAAAUCUUUCAUCAUUUUUCACCAACCAUCACGUUUAUUGAGAUUUUGACUGAUGAUGAAUGUGAUGACAAUCAAGGUGUAAGUUAAACAAAAGAUUUGUCUAAGGAAUCUGAUGGUUAUUAAAGCAGUUAAAAGCUACAGGAAUACUUGCAUCUAUCCUUUCAAAUGAAGUUGUUGGCUCAUAAUUGUUAUCAAAAGACUUGGAAAAUUGGAGAAUAAUUAUUUAAGAAAGUCAAAUGUAAAGUUUACCGUUCACUGCUAUUGGUUUAAAAGAGUUUAAUGAAAUAAAGAAAAGGAUUGAACAGGAUUCAUGUUUUCGCAAACAUUGCGGUAUUAUUAUGCUGUUUAUAAAUUGAAAUUAGAUGGAAAGGAUAUAAUGAUUGAAACUCAUGGUAUAUACACUUGUUCAUCCAAGUAUACAUUGGACAAUCAUGUUUUGUUAAAUUUAAAGAUCAAGUUGCAGUCUUUUUCUGUCAUCGUUUGCAUGGAUUCAAAUGAAAGACAAGUCAACAAUUGGACAUUUUUUUCUGUCUGAUCUAAUUCUUGUCUCAAAUGGACAUACACAAGUAAUCAAGAAGAAGCAGCUACCUUAUAUGAAUCCGUUUUUUUCUGUCCUUUUUUGCUCCAACUAGCUUUGACUACAAAACUAUUUUGCUGAAACUAUUCCCACAAUGACAUUUACUUUACAUCUAAAUAUUACCUUUUCUCUUACGACACAUUCCAAGUAAUUUCAAACCUGUUGGGUGGUGUGUUAACAUUCACACUGAUUGACAGUUGAUGAUGGGUUUUAAGGGAAUGAUUCCGUUUUGGUUCCGGUAGCAUGGCUUUCAAUGAAUGGAUGAAGGUGCCAAAAAGUCCUCUGGCAGGUUAUCAAUUGCAGCAAGAUCAUCUUCUCACCUUAACGUGUCAACAGAAAAAUAAUCAAAUGGAUAUCAAGAUACACAUGAAGUGAUCUUUCUUUAAAAUAAGAAAUUUGGGUGUUUUUCUGGUAUUCACUGACAAAUUUCCGACCAAACUUUCUUCCUCCAGGCAAACAGGGAAAAGUUGCCAAACCAAUGAACAUACUAGUUUUAUCGAUUGCCUGAAAUUAUCCAUAAAAGAUUAACUCUACCUCAAAGAGUAAUUUAGAGUAAAGUUUAAUAGCAAGUCUCCUUUCAAGGCCUGAUCGAACCGAAAACACCAUCUUUUCUUCAUUCACUCUUCUCUGUAAUCAAUGGCACAGACGCGUGUAAAAAGCUCAACUAUUAAGACUGAAAGGACUGUAAACAUAAAUACUUAAAGCUGUUCACUACUACAGUCCAUAGUUGUUUAGGAAGUUGGUUGUUUACUGCAAGAAAUCCGGUCAAAAAUUAUGGUUCCACUGCAAUUUCUCCCCAUACAUCUAUUAUUUUCAAGUUGGCCUGGAAUAAAGAUUUGCCUGUGUUUAUUUGGUCCUACAAUACGAUUUACUAUCGUCAAAAAACCCAGCAAUUACUGAUAAAAGUGGAAGAGAGGGAGAAACUUGCCUAGAGGUUGUUUAGACCUUGUCUGAAGAUUACAUUUGUAGGCUAAGAUCCUCUUCUUUAUUUUCUCGUCUCUCUUCACUUCUCUUCUCUUCCUUUCUUUUCUUCCAUCUUCUCAUCUUUUUUCUCUUCUCUACUUGCAGUGGAUCAUUGGGAGACAAUGUUGUUUUCGGUCAUGGCUCAUGAUUUUUUUUCCUUCAAGAUUUUCUUCUCUUUUUUUUCUAAAUAUAAACACAAGAAAAAGAAAUAAACGGAGAUGCUGAUGAUGAUGGGUAAAGCUGGUGAGGAGUACGAAAAUGAUAUAAAAUGGCAACAAUAAUAGUUAACUGACUAUGUUAUUCAAAAUGGUCACAUUCCUGUUAAAUUGGUAACUAUAAUUACAGCGAUUAUGGUAAUCAUGAUGGUGACAGUGAUGAUGAACAUUUUGGCACCAGUAAUAACAACAUAAUUUAACAACAAUCAAUCUAUUAAACAUUUUAUCAACUUGCAGCUUCUGGUUGUUACUUGUUUUCCCAUUCCUAGCCAAGAUCAAGGUCUCAAGGAACCAUUGGAUGAUCUAGAUUAAGUUAAUAACUCAUGAAGCAUCACAAAAGAGGAUAAACCGGAUGAUUAAAUGAACUGACUCAUUUAAAUAAUUCACAUUAUUUAACUUCUACAUUUAUUACUCUUAUUAUCAUUAUCUUUACCAUUAUCCUCGUCCCAACAUUGGGUUCAACAAAGAUCAUAACAGUUAACAAAAUAAUUGUUACUUGUAAUCUAAUAAUCAAAAUAACAGCACACUCUCCCAACUAAAUAGUAAAAUCAUAUUGUUGCAUUCAAUAGCAUUUUAAAAGUCAACUUUCACAUCAUCAUUUUGAUUAAAGAUUGAAAUGAAAUUCUUUAUCUAUUGAUGAAACAGAAUCAUAUAGAUAAAUGAAAACUCAUUUUUAAAUACAUUAUUUAUUGUACUUUUCAAUUGAUCAGUCUUACAAUUCAAGUUAAUUUAAUU